UACGUAGGUCCCAAGCGUUAUCCGGAAUUACUGGGCGUAAAGAGUUGCGUAGGUGGUUUUUUAAGCAGAGUAUGAAAGCUCACGGCUCAACCGUGAACCCGUAUUCUGAACUGAAAAACUAGAGGGCGAGAGAGGUUUCUAGAAUUUCUUGUGUAGGAGUGAAAUCCGUAGAUAUAAGAAGGAAUACCGAUGGCGUAGGCAGGAAACUGGCUCGCACCUGACACUAAGGCACGAAAGCGUGGGUAGCAAACGGG
rnacentral:rRNA from 1 species